AAGCGGUAGCUACAUACGUACGACUAUAUAAAAUGUUUAAGUAGAAAAGUUACUGCAAAACGAGCUUACGAAUGAGCCAGGGAAAGGAAUGGCUCAGUGAAUCAUGACAUGGCUCAGAGAGCGCAAGAAAUUGCAGCAGCCAACUUGAUCACGAUCUCAGAGCAAGUUGGUCGAGUCUAGAGCUACCGCAAUCUCACAAAAGCUUUACCAAAGCAUAGAAAAAGAAAAUGAAAAGAAAUAUAACGGAUCUUUAUUGUAUUGUUGUUGCUUAAGUCAAAUGAAGGGAAUGUUUUAAAGUUCAGACAAAUAGAUCUCAAAAAAAUGAAUACUAAAGUGCUGUGUUGAGAUUUUUGCAUGUAGCUUUUACUUUUACUCAUUAAAUGCUUACAUAUGUAUAGGGCACCUGCAAAAAGUCAGCACAUAUACGCAGAUUCUUAAACACGUUUUAAUAUACAUGAUUAAACUAUUACUACUAAUAUAAACAAAAGACAUGUGUACAAAAAUCAAUUGAAAAGAAUUGACGAAACUAAAAGCCAGUGAGGGCAGACGUAUUUUUCCGUGGAACUCGGAGCGAGUAGCAAGCCACGGGUUCCGCAGUGUACCCGCGACCGCGUGAAUCGGGCUACGCCACGCCAACACCUACAGGGCAGCAGCCUGGGAAAAACAAUACCUUUUGAAUAAAGAAAUACUGAGAAUAUUA